UAGCCGUAAACGAUACUCGCUAGGUGUCGGCCACGGUGCGACCGUUGUCGGUGCCGUAGGGAAGCCGUGAAGCGAGCCACCUGGGAAGUACGGCCGCAAGGCUGAAACUUAAAGGAAUUGGCGGGGGAGCACAGCAACGGGUGGAGCUUGCGGUUUAAUUGGAUUCAACGCCGGAAAUCUUACCGGGACCGACAGCAACAUGAAGGCCAAGCUGAAGACUUUGCCGGAUUAGCUGAGAGGAGGUGCAUGGCGUAGUCGUGU
rnacentral:rRNA from 1 species